CCUUAGCCUGAAACACUUUGAAAACCUUUUUGAGAAAAAUCUUUACCUUGAGUUGAGUUGAGAAUAAUUGAAGGGUAUUGAUAAAGGUUCAAGUUUGGGGUUGCUGGGAGAAUAGAAAGGCAAGAAGAAAAGCAUUGAGCUAAGGUGUUGAAUGAAAAAGCAUGAGAAAAGAUAGAAAAGAAAAGAAAAGAAAAGCAUGAAAGAUAAGCUCAAUGCAAAAGUAAAAGAAAAACGGAAAAUUUGGGAAUGAGUGAGAUUGGUUGAAAGAGAGUUGGUGCUUGAACUAUGGAUGUUGAAUAACUCUCUUAACUCAAGGAUUUUGUGAGCCAGAAAAACCAAUUUUUCUUGUUAGCCCAACCUCAUUAUAAGCUUUGAAAAGUCCUUGUGAUGGCAUUUGUGUGUAAGAAUGUUGAUUGUAAUAGAUGAAAGGCAAUUUUGUUC
rnacentral:lncRNA from 1 species